CUUUAUUCCACAGAUACUUGGAGGUGGUGAAAGGGGUGUAACUUAAAGCAUUGUUUUAAGAAGGUAAAUUUGCCCUCAGCGAUUAAGGUGGAUUGAAACUGGGAGAGGCUAGAGAUAGGUCAGGUCAGUUGUGAAAAGCAAAAAGCUGACUUUGAAAGAAGAUUUGGCUAGAUUUGACGACUGCUAACGAAAACUGUCAGAAGUUUACUAAGAAUUCUAGGAAGCCAGGGCCUUCUGAGUAAUGGAUGAAUCAGAGGGAAGAAGGCCACCAUGUUUCAGCUGCAACUCGGCUCUUAAAACAAAUAGGUCACAGGUCAUGGAACUAACAUUUGCUUAAGUUGAUCCCCUCUGCUGACUUUAUUAAGAAUUUAUCACAGUCACCUCACGUUCAUAUUAGCUUCUGCCGCUAAGAGGAAGGGGUUUCCCUCCCAAGAGCACAGAUACAGAGACUUCCUAGCUCACUUUCUUUAACUGUUCUUCUGGGGGAAUCCAUGUCGUCCUUUCCUCGCUCUCUUGCACACAGGAUCUCAGCGCCUCAUUGAACCAGCAUCUUUUUUAUAAGUCUCAUUUAACCAGGAAGCAUGAGGGCAUGGAGAUCCAUUUCAGUGCAUCUCGUCUACUUUUCCAAGCAUUGGUGGAGCACCUGCUAUGGGCCAGGCCCUGGGAUAGCUUCUGGAGCUGCUCGUAGACUCACUAAGCCCAGGCAGGGCCUGAAAAGCUGCCUAGAGCUUACUUCAAUUUGCAUUUUAUGUGGUCAGCAGCAUUGCUCUUAAAUUGCCCCGGACUCCUUUCUUUAUGGAAGAGUUCUAAUCACUUGUCUGGUGCAUUUUGCUACUAUCAUUUGUGCUUAUACAGUCUCUGCAUAGGCAUGCACAGUUCCCAGCUGGCAAAUGGAUUGUGUUCUGAAAGUCAGUCUGUAAUUCAUAUUCCCAUAGGAACAAUGAUAUGUUCAACAGCCAGUGCACAUACACUCUCACACACACCUAUGCAAGACACUUCUGACCCGUAAGUUGGUUGAACCAUAUAUUUAAAAAUAUCAAAAUUCAUCAUUUUUCUUUCUGGGAAAAAUAUUUUUUAAAUUUCCACGGAGAACUCAACCUCUCUGUGAAGUCUUAGAUUCCGGAAGAAAAAGUUCUUGUUGCCUUCAUGGUAAAAGGUUUCCUCUGCCCACGGUCCUGGGUAGAGGAGGAGGUUAUACCUCUGUACAGUCGUGGGCUGUCCGCUUGCCAAUCUGUGGCAACAUUCUUAGGAGGGGAAUCCCUCCUAUGGUGGUGUAAGGAGAUGAGCAAAAUCUGGAUGAUUGUUCUGUUAUUAGACAGUACAUCAGGUGUUUAUCUUGAGGUACCCUGUGCUCCUACUUCGAAUCUGCCAUCUUUGUAAUUUUCUGUACUUCCAAUCUUUCUAAAAUGCAAGUUUGAUGCAUUCUCCCCCCAGCUUCUACUCACCUUCAAGAUCAGUUCCAAACUCCUUGGCAUGGUAUAAUUGGCCCCUCGAGACCUGGCCCCUGCUUACCCUCCAGCUUCCUUUCUCAUCUUAUGUUGAUGCUAUAGGCAGAGGCCAGGUUUUCUCUGAAGUUGCUUUUAGAUAUAUUGCUCCCUCUGCCUGGCAAGCCUUUUCCAUUCCCUGCCGAGGUCAUUCAGAUUUAUCCUUGAAGACUCGGCUUAGCUGCCAGUUUCUUUCAGCCACUUCUGUGACACAUCACCCUAUGACCACCCUCAGUGUGAAUGAGGUGUAUUCCCUAAUUCCAUAGCGCCCUGCACACACUUCUCUCCUAACACUCAUCAUAAGGCUGACAGGUGUUCAUUUACGUAUUUGUCUCCCCCAGGAGACUGAACUACUGGAGAUCAGAGACUAAUCUGUGCGUUCCAAGUGUCCAGCAUGUAGCAUAUGAAAGGCACUCAAAUGCAUACUGAAAUAAUGGAGUAGAUGGGGAGAGGACCUGUGACCAUGGCUAGCCUAGAAUAGCUAGAUUCCAACGAUGGAGUUAAUACCUGCAGGGGAAACUAGAACACCUGGGGAAAGCCCUGUGCUGUCAGGUUAAAGGUCUGAGAUUCUUGGAAAGAGGCCCUGAGGUUAGGUCAGACUGGCUCGAAAGGAAUUAUUCUAGAGGUAUAUGUGGAAUGGAGAAGGUGGUACGGGUAGGGUGACUCCACCUGGGGUGAUUUUGACCCCCAGGGAACAUUUGGCAAUGUCUGAAGACAUUUUUGGUUGUCACAACCAGGGUAUUGAGGGUAGUGAUACUGGCAUCUAGUGGGUAGAGAUCAGGGAUGCUGGUAAUCAUACUACAGUGCACAGGAAGCCCCCUACAAUGAAUAAUUAUCUGGUCCAAAUGUCAGUAGUGCCGAGUUUGAGAAAGCUUGCCACAUAGGAUACCAUGAGAAGUUACUGACACUCUAUUUUUUAAGUUAAUUUAAAGCAAAUGAGAUUUGGUAAAUUGUUAACUUUUGAUGUGAAAAAAAAAACACUAGAAUCUAAGAGAUGUGAGUUCUAGUCCUGGCUGUAGAAAAAGCUAGCUGUGUUUCCUAAGGCAAGUCACCUUUCUGGACCUCUUUUUGUUCAACUCAGGCUCUUUCCAGUUCUAACAGCCCAUGGCUCUAAACCUGGCUCAAAUGUCUGAUUAAAACCACCAGUGAUUUGAAAAAAGAAAGACAGUUGUGAUCACAUAUUCUGUUUUUUUACCUUGGUUAAAUGUCUUUCUUCAGGAACUAGAAGGGUUCCUAAUCCUCGGCUUUACCAAGACAACCGAUGACCAUUGUAACAAUAUCACUUAAGAGAUGAGACAAGACAUAUUCAUAUUAUAAAUUGAAAUGUUGCCUCCAAGGUGGCAGUACUCAUCUGCACGUGACAUUUAUGAAUGUUUUCCAACAGCAUCUACCAGAUAUCAGGAACAAGGGAAAGGAAGGCACCAAAGUUAAAGCUAAGAGUUCCAGUCUGAAUAUCUACUUUUCUGGAUUCUGGAAAAUUACAGUAUAAACAGGUGUGUUAUAUAUAAUGAAACAUAUAGGGGAGAGUAUGUGGGGAAUUAGGUUAGGGGACUGGAUGAUGAGUGAUGGUUGUACCAUACCUUUAAGUACAGUUUUUUUUUUACUGCAUUAAUAUAUCACAAUGAAUUAUGACUGUUGGCAGAUAUUUUAGAAAUCUCGAAAUAGAUUCAGCUUAGCUUCUAGUGCCCUCCCCAAUAUGGCACAACGAUACCUGUUCAGCCUUAUCUCUCACGUUUCCUUUGUUUAAGCAAUCUGGUCAAAACAGGAUUAAAAAUCUUCCUCAACUUACAAUGGAGUUAUAUCCUGAUAAACCCAUCAUAAAUUGAAAACAUUGGUAAGUCAAAAAUGUGUUUAAUACGCCUAACCUACUGAAAAUCAUAGCUUAGUCUAACCGAUCGUAAACGUGCUCAGAGCACUUACAUUAGCCUACAGUUGGGCAAGAUCAUCGAAGACAAAGCCUAUUUUAUAAUAAGGUGUUGAAUAUCUCAUGUAGUUUAUUGAAUACUGUACUGAAAGUGAAAAACAGAAUGGUUGGAGGGCUACAGAAUGGUUUUAUGUGUGUGGGUUGUUUACCCUCGUGAUUGCAUCAUUGUUUACCCAGGCAGCUCGCUGCGCUGCCCAGCCUCACAAGAGAGGAUCGGACAGCAUAUCGCUAGACCGGGAAAAGAUUAAAAUUCCAAGUACAGUUUCUACUGAAUGCAUAUCGUUUUCGCACCAUUGUAAAUUCAAAAUAUCCUAAGUCAAAUCAUCGUAAGUCAGGGACCCUCUGUACUUAUCCUCCCUAAGACCUGAAUUUACAUGUCGGUGCUUCUUUGUGUUAACCCACGCUAUUCUAUGUCUUCAUUUUCCUAAAUUCUACCUUUCAUUCAAGGUUCAGGGGCAGCUCUUUCAUGAAGUUGUCCUUGAUCACAUCCCUCUGUCUUGUAAAAGAGCAUCCUCACCUUUUAACUCUGAUGGCAUCCGUUAGCUAAUAUGGGCCAUGUAGCUAAUAUGCAGUCAUAUUACAUGAGUACAAAUCUUACCUGUUCUGCUAAAUCUCUUGUUCCCUGCAUAUUCCUAACCUACUCCCUUGGGCAGACCUGCUUGCUUGUCUGUAUUUGGCCCUUGAGUCUAACCUUGGGCAGGGACGGUUUCAUCUUCAUCAUGCAGCCCCAGGCCUAGCAUAUGUUGUAUGCAUAUGUGCUCAAUCAAUACCUGUUUAUCUAAUGGAUGGGUGGAUUUAUUACAUACUGAAUGAAUUCAUCUAAAACAGGUUGAUUAGCUUAUCUUAGCCUCCUUUGUUAAAAGUCAAAGAAAUGCUGGCAUAGAGAUUUGCAAGGAAGAAGAAUUUUUGCUUAAUUAUGAUAACUAAUUAUCUAAAAAAUAUUUGGCUAAUAUUUUAGUGAGACUCCUAUUAAGAUUCUAGAUGUUCAAAUUACUAUCAACAACCUUUAAAAUUAACAGUGUCUAUUGUAUUUUAUGGAAAUGCCAACCAACUAUCCAGAAUCCUCAUUGGAUUACAUUCUCAUUGAAUAAAAAAUGUGGAAUAUGAAUGCUCAGUGGUUCUUAGCAAUCAAGGAGCCAUGUAGCGCUCCAGUGUAAUGUUUCAACCUUUCCCCAAAACCGUAUUGAGUCUUGGCCAGACAUAUUAGCAUGAGCUGACCGACAAAAGAUGUAGGUUCUAGGAAAGUAAGAAUAGAAAUGAUUCCAGCUAGCAUUAACCCUAUAAGUGUGUUAGUUAUCAUCUGUGUGGUAUGUUAAAGCACUGGCAAGUAGUGAACUACUUUGAAUGAUUACAUUAAGUAAUAUAGGACACAAAAAAACUUUCCAAUACUGUUAAGUCAAGAGGAAAAUUGGAAUGGUGUCUAAUCUAACAUAUGUAUAUACUUUUUCUCCUCCUUCCACUGUAAUCAAAUCAAUCAAUCUCUUUUUCCAUAUAUAUAUACACACAUGUAUAUAUAUACACACACAUAUAUGCAUGUGUAUAUGUAUGUAUAUGCAUUUCUUUCUCUCAAGCAAACACUCACUCAUUUCUUCUCUGUUCCUGCCCCGUCUGGCUUCUGAAAGUCUGAAGAAGUCAGAGCUCUACAGAAAGUCAAUAAAAAUGGUUGUAUUCAAUAUGCGAGGUUCAAGUUACCCUUAAAUUUGGAACUCCUAAUCAACUCUAUAUUUAAUUAAUUACUUAUUUGUAUUAUACAGGGUGAUUCAAAAAGAAUUGCACCUUGGCCACCCAGAUCCUCAGAUGUCUCACUUUGCAACUUCCUUCAGACAGAAUACCUCCGGAACCUCACAUCUGUACUGCACCUUCAUUUUUUUUCAACCUUCAAAAAAUGAAGAAUCUUGUCCUGGCUGCCAUUUCAGUUGUCAAAGUCUAGGUUUCAGGAACCGGACAUGAAGCUCUGUGUGACUGAAAUGAACCACCUGUUGUCUUCAAAUGGAAGUGAAGAAAAGGUCGAGGAAGAUGGAGUGGGGAUAAGAAUGACUUCAAGCAUCUCACUUGAUAAUCUUGUUCUUCUUGAGAGAUUUACCUAUCUCUUGUGAAUAGGAAGAACUUUGCUUGUAAAAUCAAUUUCAGAUAACCAUAUUUAGAUGGGUGGCGAUCAUCAUUUUUCUUAAAGUUGCUUCCAGCAGCCGGCCCAGUGGCGGAGCGGGUAAGUUCGCACGAUCCGCUUCUCGGUGGCCCAGGGUUCGCCGGUUCGGAUCCCGGGUGCGCAUGCAGCACCGCUUGGUGAAAGCCAUGCUGUGGUAGGCAUCCCAUGUAUAAAGUAGAGGAAGAUGGGCAUGGAUGUUAGCUCAGGGCCAGUCUUCCUCAGGAAGAAGAGGAGGAUUGGCAGUUAUUAGCUCAGGGCUAAUCUUCCUCCAAAAAAAAAAAAAGUUGCUUCCAAACUUCUUUUUCUAUAUAUAUACUUUGGAAAUCCAAGAAGCCAUCAGCACCGAUGAUGUUGUAGCCAAACCGAGCCUUUGGUGAAGGAAAGCAUAGCUGAGGAGUCGAUGAGGGUCCCAGUAACAUCAUGGUUGUACUAUUAAGCCUAAUUUAUUCUGUAGAUUCUUUCGAUUGUAUAAUUUCUUAAUACUCUCCCGUGUUCAAGAGUAUAUGCCUUUUUUUGGUAAAUGGCCUUAUAUAUUCUUUAGAAGUAGGCUGCGUAGAAAUUAUAACCAAAUGAGGGAAAUAAGCAUCCUCAUAGUGUAUCUCUUUGAUUACACUGAUCUUCAUCUCAGUUCAUGUCAGCAAACCUGGCCUUGUCAUUCUCUUCCCUAUCUCAAGGGCAGGGUUUCUCAACCUCGGCACUAUUGACAUUUUUGGGCCAGAUAAUCCUUUGUCGUGGGGUGCUGUCCUUUGCAUCCCUGGCCUCUACCUACGGGGUGCUAGUAGCAGCCCCCUUGUUGUGACAACCAAAAAUGUCUUCAGACACUGCCAGAUGUGCUCUUGGGAGCAAAAUCACCCCUGAUUGAGAACCGUUGCCCGAGGGUGAAAAGAUUUUCCAGGUUAGUCCCAGUUUAUAAGUUUUCCCAAGUAUAUAGGAUCCCCUUUCACUUUCAAAAGGGUCAUAAUUUGGACAGGGAAUUAAAUGGUCACCCAACAUAUCUCAGUAAAUAGCAACUUCGUGUUUCCAGUUGCUCAUGCCAAAACUUUGGAGAUGUUCUUAACUCCUCUCAUUCUCUCAUACCCCUCAUCAGCCAUUAGUAAAUCCAGUUGAUUAAAACCACCUUCAAACUGUAUGCCAUAUCCAGCACUUCUGUCCAUGUCCACUGAUAUCACACUGGUCCAAGCCACCUCGACUCACCCAGAAGAACAUGUGCCCCUCCUCAGGCUGUUCUCACACAGCUGCCAAAGCUAUCAUGUUUAAUUAGCAAGCUGGAUCAUGCCACUCCUCUGCUCAAAAUCCUUCAAUGGCUUCCCAUUCUACUUAGAGUUAAAGCCAAAGUCAUUACAAUGGUCUAAAAGUAGCCUUACAAGAUCUGCCUAACCACUGCCCUCCUCCUUGUUCCGGUUAGCCUCUCUGACCUUAUCCCUUUGGACUCACUGUUCAGCUACCCUGACCUCUGCUAUUCCUUAAACACCUGGCACAGCCUGUUUCAGCGCUUUCCUCUGCCGAUUCCUUUUACCUGCAACCUUCUACCUCCCGCCACUCCAGAUAUCCACAUAGCUUGCUCCCUCAUUUUCCAAGUCUAUGUUCUACUCUCAGCUUCACAGUGAGGCCUUCUCUGACCACUUGAUUUAAAAUCACACCCUCAAUUCAUCUCCCCUGAUUUCUUUCUUACCAUAGCCCUUAUCACUAUCUGACAUACUAAAAUUUUACCCAUUUCUUUAUUUAUUUCCUGAUUUAUUGUGUGUCUCUCAGAAUUAGUAUGCAGACUCCACGAGGGCGGGGGUUUUUCUCUGUUUUGUUCACUGUCCAAUACUCAGUGCCUUUAGCAGUUUUCCUAGGAAACAUGUAGUGGGCACUCAAUAAAUACUGAAUGAUGCAAUAAUGAAUUUAUUGAAUACUUACUUUCUUCUAGGCAUCAGGCUAAUACUGAGUAUACAAAAGUGAGUGCAGCACUAUCCCUGCCCUCAAGAAGUUUAAAAUCUAGUAGAGGACACACGCAUGUAAAUAAAUAAGCACAGAAGCGUGAGAUGCCUGCAAUAAAGAGAAGAACGCAUGGAUGUGGUAUAGAGGGAUAAAAGGGAUUGGUGGAGCACAAGGGAUUGCAGUGCAUUGAGGAGGAAGUGGCGGUAGGGAAGGGAUAAUACUUUGUCCCAGUCCAUUAUUUGCACAGCUGCUGCAAUGCAAAGACGGUGUGAAUGGCAAUGUAAAGCCGCUGCAUGUGCCAGUGGCUUUUCAUCUUGUACACCCACACCUGCAGUGUGGAAUCCUUACAGUUUAGCAUGGUAUAUAAGGCUGAUCAUAAUCUGGCUCCCUGUCCAGACUUAUCUAUUGCCACUCUCCUCCAAACAGCUUUUCUUGCUAACUAGACUGAUGAGAACAAUAUGUGUCCUUAACACUUUCAGGCUUUUCCUGGCUCCUGGAGUGCCCUCCCCCACCGCAUGGUCUACUUGACAGGUUUUAAGACUUGGCUGAAGUGGAAUAGCCUCUGUGAAGACUUCCUUGAUGUCACCUUCCUUCUGGGUAAAUUAUCACACGAAAGACCAGAGGCAGCUGCAUCAGACAGGUUGGAAAAGUAUGCAUUUAUUUCUAAAGAGAAUGAACCUAUUAAGACAGUUUGAAAAAUGGUGCAAAAGAAAUAUAUACCAUCAAUCAAGACUGUGUAUUAACUUUGAGUAAUUGUAGUCUGAAAUCCACAUUCCUGGAGCAAAGAAGUGACAUACCUGCCAUAGAUCAGUGUAAACAUGGAGACAGAACAAUGAGAGCCUGUACAAUAAACGAAGAGGAAGAUUGGUACCAGAUCAAAACAUUUCCCUCAUCUGCCUGCAGUUUAAUCUGGGAAGAACUGGAAUUAAGUUCUGGACCACACCAUGUUUAUGACUGACUACUUAUUAAUUGUAUUUAAAUGUGUCAUAAAGUUAAAUGUGUAGUAAACUAUAUGAAUUUUAUUUCAUAUUUUGAGUUUUUUGAUUUAUAACUACUAAUUCCUUCUAUCAUGAUAAAGUUGUGGGUUGAAAGUACCCAUUCGAUAUUACGAAAGGUAAAUACCACAAUCGGUAGAUCAGAGUGGUGGUUACAAUCAAGAUUCUAGUGACCAAAGUCAGACCAGUUGGGUCUGCAGCAUGCUUUAUAGACUAGUAUCUCUGUAGGACCUGUUACUCUUUGAAUAUUUAUUCAAUAAUUGAAUAAUUCAAUGUUCAAUUGAAUAAUUCAGUAACUGAAGGUCUAAGCGUCAGGCAUUGUUUUGAUCUUAUAACCUUCUCAAGAAUCUAUGAAUUAAGUUGUAAUUUCUCCACUUAAGGAUAAUGAAGCUGAAGCUUAAGAAGGUUUAAGUACCUUCACCAGCCAACAAGAAGAGCGCUCAAGAUCCAAACCUAGUUCAUUCCAAAGUAAAGCUCGGUCUUAACUACCGUGCAGGUCUGUUUCUGUGCUACAUCUCUGGAUGAUUUCAUUUCAGGGCAUUUGUGUCUGAAUUGAGGAUAAUCUUUUGCAUCAAAUUGAUACAGAUUUUGAUGCUAAUCUGUGUAUCAUGAAUCAUGGUUAGUCACAGAAGUUAUUUGUUCACUUUGUAAUUGUUACACCUUAAACUCAUUGACUUUAAUGAAAUGGCUGAUAGUAAUAUUGGAGGCCUAAUUGUUAGCUUGGGCAGGUGGACCGCAGGCUUGGUAUUUAAUCACAUAAUGUGCCUUUGUGAAAACAGAACAGUUGUAAGACCGGCAUCAGCAAUUCCUGAGGGAGGAUUCCAAGAAGCAGCUAAGACCUUGAAAAUUCCCCUGGGUAUUAUGGAUUUCAUUUUAAGUGAAAAUGCAAAGCAAUUAAAUUUCUUGUAACUGAAUUCCUUAAUUAUACACAGUUUCUAUUGCUCAUUUUUUAGUUAAAAGUUGACCUUGAUUUCUUGGAAAUAUGUAAAAAUAUAGGUGCAAAUGGAAAAAGACUGGAAGAUAAUAUACAAGAAAAAAUAUUUUUGGUCUUAGGAUAGUAGGAGAGCUAGGAUG
rnacentral:lncRNA from 1 species